GCGAACGGGUGAGUAACACGUGGGCAAUCUGCCCUGCACUCUGGGACAAGCCCUGGAAACGGGGUCUAAUACCGGAUAUGAGCCUGGGAGGCAUCUCCCGGGUUGUAAAGCUCCGGCGGUGCAGGAUGAGCCCGCGGCCUAUCAGCUUGUUGGUGAGGUAAUGGCUCACCAAGGCGACGACGGGUAGCCGGCCUGAGAGGGCGACCGGCCACACUGGGACUGAGACACGGCCCAGACUCCUACGGGAGGCAGCAGUGGGGAAUAUUGCACAAUGGGCGAAAGCCUGAUGCAGCGACGCCGCGUGAGGGAUGACGGCCUUCGGGUUGUAAACCUCUUUCAGCAGGGAAGAAGCGAGAGUGACGGUACCUGCAGAAGAAGCGCCGGCUAACUACGUGCCAGCAGCCGCGGUAAUACGUAGGGCGCAAGCGUUGUCCGGAAUUAUUGGGCGUAAAGAGCUCGUAGGCGGCUUGUCACGUCGAUUGUGAAAGCCCGAGGCUUAACCUCGGGUCUGCAGUCGAUACGGGCUAGCUAGAGUGUGGUAGGGGAGAUCGGAAUUCCUGGUGUAGCGGUGAAAUGCGCAGAUAUCAGGAGGAACACCGGUGGCGAAGGCGGAUCUCUGGGCCAUUACUGACGCUGAGGAGCGAAAGCGUGGGGAGCGAACAGGAUUAGAUACCCUGGUAGUCCA
rnacentral:rRNA from 1 species